rnacentral:rRNA from 1 species
AUCAAUAAGCGGAGGAAAAGAAAAUAACAAUGAUUUCCCCAGUAACGGCGAGUGAAGAGGAAAGAGCUCAAAGUUGGAACCUGCUUGGCUUAGCCAAGCCGGAUUGUAAACUGUAGAAGUGUUUUCCUGACACGCCAGGCAAAAAAGUCCUUUGGAACAGGGCAUCAUAGAGGGUGAGAAUCCCGUCUUUGGCCUGAGCAGUUGUCUUUUGCGAUACACUUUCAAAGAGUCAGGUUGUUUGGGAAUGCAGCCUAAAUUGGGUGGUAAAUCUCACCUAAAGCUAAAUAUUGGCGAGAGACCGAUAGCGAACAAGUACCGUGAGGGAAAGAUGAAAAGAACUUUGAAAAGAGAGUUAAACAGUAUGUGAAAUUGUUAAAAGGGAACCGUUUGGAGCCAGACUGGCUUGGCUGUAAUCAAUCUGGGCUUUUGCCCGGAUGCACUUGCGGCCUAUGCCUGCCAACGACAGUUUUAUUUGGGGGAAAAAACCAGGAGGAAUGUGGCCCCUUUGCGGGGGUGUUAUAGCCUCUUGGAAAAUACCCUGGAUUGGACUGAGGAUCGCAGCGAAUGCCUUUAGGCGAGAUUGCGGCGUGCUUUUGCUGAUAAAUGCUAGAAUUUCUGCUUCGGGUGGUGCUAGUGUUUAAAGGUGGAACUCGCGCUGUAUAUUUUUUAUUCGCUUAGGUUGUUGGCUUAAUGACUCUAAAUGAC